UUUUUUUUGAAAUCCAGGAGGUUCAGGGCCGAAACCCGUAAUCCCCCCAGGCCCGAAACUACAACAUGUAAUAUUAGUUUCGUUCCAAGCAUCACUCGAACCGGCGACCUCUAAGCUUCGCCUAGGGUCUUUAUGAAACAAUAUUUUCUUCCAAUUUCACCAUUUAUCCAAUAUAUAACUGUUGCGGAGAACAUUUUUUUGUAUAGAAACUGAGAUAUAUAAGUUUUCAAUUUCCUUCAUCAGGCGCCAGAUUAAUGGAUAGAUUUAUACUGAUUCAAUGAGAUUUAUUCAGAUUGUGUAAUAGUUAUAGAUGGACGACAAGAACAUUGAUCUUUCAAAGAGGACAACAAAAAUGAACCUGGGUCCAAAACAAA
rnacentral:sRNA from 1 species